AUAAAAUUAGUUAAUUUAUAACAUUAAAUUGUCAUUUUAAAAUAGUUUUAGGACAUUUUAUG
rnacentral:tRNA from 1 species